rnacentral:rRNA from 1 species
AGUGAACGCUGGCGGUAGGCCUAACACAUGCAAGUCGAACGGCAGCACAGUAAGAGCUUGCUCUUACGGGUGGCGAGUGGCGGACGGGUGAGGAAUACAUCGGAAUCUACUUUUUCGUGGGGGAUAACGUAGGGAAACUUACGCUAAUACCGCAUACGACCUACGGGUGAAAGCAGGGGAUCUUCGGACCUUGCGCGAUUGAAUGAGCCGAUGUCGGAUUAGCUAGUUGGCGGGGUAAAGGCCCACCAAGGCGACGAUCCGUAGCUGGUCUGAGAGGAUGAUCAGCCACACUGGAACUGAGACACGGUCCAGACUCCUACGGGAGGCAGCAGUGGGGAAUAUUGGACAAUGGGCGCAAGUCUGAUCCAGCCAUACCGCGUGGGUGAAGAAGGCCUUCGGGUUGUAAAGCCCUUUUGUUGGGAAAGAAAAGCAGCAGGUUAAUACCCCGCUGUUCUGACGGUACCCGAAGAAUAAGCACCGGCUAACUUCGUG